rnacentral:tRNA from 1 species
UAGAUCCUAGUAAAAUAUAUUACACUGUCUUGUCCGGACCAAUUGUGAGUUUAAAUCUCCCGUAUCUUA